rnacentral:lncRNA from 1 species
GAGGUGGCGCGCAGGCAGGCAGGUUGUUGGUGGAAGUUGAAAGGCACGAGAGGGAAGCGGUGGCCAUAAAUGUUGUCUUUUUAACAUCUUUUUUUCUCCUCUUCUCUUCUCUUCUCCUCUUCCCUUUGUGUUUGAUAUAAUUAAGAUUAGUUGGUACAUAAUGUCCAUGUAGUUAGUUGUUUUUUUUUAUUGAUGGUGUAUCAUACUAUAUAUUAGGACUGAUCCACUGAGAAAUUAUGACAACAUCCUGGAGCUCCUCAUCAUGGAAAUUGAUCCUCUCCUCUCUGACUGUUCAUACAGAUACAGAUGAAUUAGGAUGUAUAGUAACUAAUUUGUUUCCUGAAAAGAAAAGGUGCAACAGUGUUGGUGUUAAAGUCCAAACCUUUUAGGAUUUCCAUGUGUUUAUCAGCAAUUUAUGAAUAUCAAAAUUAAAGUUAUGAAAGUAUUAGGAUUAUUCAUCAUAACUUCCAAUUGCAGUUGCUGAUAAGAGACUAAUUAAGAGUAG